rfam:Streptomyces auratus AGR0001 genomic scaffold Scaffold4, whole genome shotgun sequence.
CUUCAACGACCCCAGCCACAAAGGCCGAUCGGCGGACCGGCCCUGGCCGUACGUCGCCAACAACGCCUGCGCCUC